rnacentral:rRNA from 1 species
AAAAUUUUUUUUUUUUUUUUUUUUUUUUCUGGCCCCCCUCCCACGGUAAUACGGAGGGGAGCUAGCCGUUUUUCGGGAAAUUAUCUGGGGCGUAAAAAACGCCACGUUAGAGCGGCCUUUUUUAAAAUUAGAGGGUGAAAAGCUCGGGAGGGUCAACUCCCAGAAACUGCCCUUUAAGACUGCAUCGCUUGAAUCCAGGAGAGGUGAGUGGAAUUUCCGAGUGUAGAGGUGAAAUUCGUAGAUAUUCGGAAGAAACACCAGUGGCGAAGACGGCUCACUGGACUGGUAUUGACGCUGAGGUGCGAAAACGUGGGGAGCAAACAGGAUUAGAUACCCUGGUAGUCCCACGCCGUAAACAGAUGAUAACUAGCUGUCGCGGGGACUUGGUCUUUGGGUGGCGCAGCUAUACGCAUUAAGUUAUCCCCCUGGGGAGUACGGCCGCAAGGUUAAAACUCAAAUGAAUUGACGGGGGCCUGCACAAGCGGUGGAGCAUGUGGUUUAAUUUGAAGCAACGCGCAGAACCUUACCAGCGUUUGACAUGUCCGGACGAUUUCCAGAGAUGGAUCUCUUCCCUUCGGGGACUGGAACACAGGUGCUGCAUGGCUGUCGUCAGCUCGUGUCGUGAGAUGUUGGGUUAAGUCCCGCAACGAGCGCAACCCUCGCCUUUAGUUACCAUCAUUCAGUUGGGGACUUUAAAGGAACCUCCGGUGAUAAACCGGAGGAAGGUGGGGAUGACGUCAAGUCCUCAUGGCCCUUACGCGCUGGGGUACACCCGUGCUACAAUGGCGGUGACAGUGGGCAGCAAACUCGCGAGAGUGCGCUAAUUUCCAAAAACCCUCUCAGUUCGGAUUGUUCUCUGCACCUCGAGAGCAUGAAGGCGGAAUCUCUAGUAAUCUCGGAUCAGCAUGCCGCGGGGAAUACGUUUCCAGGCCUUGUACACACCGCCCCUCACACCAUGGGAGUUGGGUUCACCCCAAGGCGUUGCACUAACUCCCAAGAGAGGCAGGCGACCACGGUGGGCUUAGCGACUGGGGUGAAGUAUAACAAGAGCCUACCGGG